rnacentral:rRNA from 1 species
UACGAGGGGGGCAAUUGUUGUUCGGAAUUACUGGGCGUAAAGGGCGCGUAGGCGGCCUUCUAAGUCGAACGUGAAAUCCCCGGGCUCAACCCGGGAACUGCGUCCGAUACUGGAAGGCUUGAAUCCGGGAGAGGGAUGCGGAAUUCCAGGUGUAGCGGUGAAAUGCGUAGAUAUCUGGAGGAACACCGGUGGCGAAGGCGGCAUCCUGGACCGGCAUUGACGCUGAGGCGCGAAAGCGUGGGGAGCAAACAGG